rnacentral:rRNA from 1 species
AUUGAACGCAGGCGGCAGGCUUAACACAUGCAAGUCGAGCGGAGAUGAGGUGCUUGCACCUUAUCUUAGCGGCGGACGGGUGGGUAAUGCUUAGGAAUCUGCCUAUUAGUGGGGGACAACAUUCCGAAAGGAAUGCUAAUACCGCAUACGUCCUACGGGAGAAAGCAGGGGAUCUUCGGACCUUGCGCUAAUAGAUGAGCCUAAGUCGGAUUAGCUAGUUGGUGGGGUAAAGGCCUACCAAGGCGACGAUCUGUAGCGGGUCUGAGAGGAUGAUCCGCCACACUGGGACUGAGACACGGCCCAGACUCCUACGGGAGGCAGCAGUGGGGAAUAUUGGACAAUGGGGGGAACCCUGAUCCAGCCAUGCCGCGUGUGUGAAGAAGGCCUUAUGGUUGUAAAGCACUUUAAGCGAGGAGGAGGCUACUGAGACUAAUACUCUUGGAUAGUGGACGUUACUCGCAGAAUAAGCACCGGCUAACUCUGUGCCAGCCGCCGCGGUAAGAC